GAGUAAAGAUUUCGGUCGCUUUGGGAGGAGCUCGCUUACUAUCAGCUUGUUGGUAGGGUAAUGGCCUACCAAGGCUAUGACGGUUAGGGGGUGUGAGAGCAUGACCCCCAGCAUUGGCACUGAAACACUGGCCAAACACCUACGGGUGGCUGCAGUCGAGAAUCUUCCACAAUGGGGGAAACCCUGAUGGAGCGAUGCUGCGUGCGGGAUGAAGGCCUUCGGGUUGUAAACCGCUUUUGUAGGGGACGAAAUUUUUGACGGUACCCUUUCGAAUAAGAGGUUGCUAACUCUGUGCCAGCAGCAGCGGUAAUACAGAGACCUCAAGCGUUAUCCGGAUUUACUGGGCGUAAAGCGUCUGUAGGGGGUUUAUUAAGUUCCAAGUAAAAUUUCAAGGCUCAACUUUGAAUUCGCUUGGAAAACUAAUAAACUGGAGUCUAGCAGAGGUGCCAUGGAACUUGUGGUGUAGGAGUGAAAUCCGUUGAUAUCACAAGGAACACCAAAGGCGAAGGCAUUGCACUGGGCUAGCACUGACCCUGAGAGACGAAAGCGUGGGGAGCAAAACGGAUUAGAUACCCGUGUAGUCCAAGCCCUAAACGAUGAAUGCUAAAUGUUCGGGGACUCGACCCCCUGGGUGUUACAGCUAACGCGUUAAGCAUUCCGCCUGGGAAGUACGGCCGCAAGGCUAAAACUCAAAGGAAUAGACGGGGAUCCGCACAAGCGGUGGAGCGUCUGGUUUAAUUCGACAGUAAGCGUGGUACCUCACCAGGGUUUGACAUCCCUUGACAGUCUUGGGAACAAGGUUUCCUUCGGGCAAGGUGACAGGUGCUGCAUGGUCGACGUCAGUUCGUGCCGUGAGGUGUUCCGUUAAGUCGGGAAACGGACGUAACCCCUAUUGCAUGUUACAAUUU
rnacentral:rRNA from 1 species